rnacentral:rRNA from 1 species
GACCCUAUAGAGUUUUAUAAAUUUAAGUAUUGGAGUAUUUUAGGAUUUAAUUUUUCAAUUUUUAAAUUUAUUUAGUUGGGGUGACUAAAAAAUUUAAUUAACUUUUUUAUAAUUUAACCACUUAUUUGUGAAUAUUUGAUCCAUUAUUUAUGAUUAAUAGAUAAAAUUACCUUAGGGAUAACAGCGUAAUUUUUCUUAAGAGUUCUAAUCGAAAGAAAAGUUUGCGACCUCGAUGUUGGAUUAAAAUAAACUUUUGGUGUAGCAGCUAGAAAAGUUUGGUCUGUUCGACCAUUGAAAUUUUACAUGAUCUGA